AGAGUUUGAUCCUGGCUCAGAUUGAACGCUGGCGGCAUGCCUUACACAUGCAAGUCGAACGGUAACAGGUCUUCGGAUGCUGACGAGUGGCGAACGGGUGAGUAAUACAUCGGAACGUGCCCAGUAAUGGGGGAUAGCUCGGCGAAAGCCGGAUUAAUACCGCAUACGCCCUGAGGGGGAAAGUGGGGGACCGCAAGGCCUCACGUUAUUGGAGCGGCCGAUGGCUGAUUAGCUAGUUGGUAGGGUAAAGGCCUACCAAGGCGACGAUCAGUAGCUGGUCUGAGAGGACGAUCAGCCACACUGGGACUGAGACACGGCCCAGACUCCUACGGGAGGCAGCAGUGGGGAAUUUUGGACAAUGGGGGAAACCCUGAUCCAGCAAUGCCGCGUGUGCGAAGAAGGCCUUCGGGUUGUAAAGCACUUUUGUCAGGGAAGAAAUCCUUUGGGCUAAUACCCUAGGGGGAUGACGGUACCUGAAGAAUAAGCACCGGCUAACUACGUGCCAGCAGCCGCGGUAAUACGUAGGGUGCAAGCGUUAAUCGGAAUUACUGGGCGUAAAGCGUGCGCAGGCGGUUGUGUAAGACAGGUGUGAAAUCCCCGGGCUUAACCUGGGAAUUGCAUUUGUGACUGCACGACUAGAGUGUGUCAGAGGGGGGUGGAAUUCCACGUGUAGCAGUGAAAUGCGUAGAUAUGUGGAGGAACACCAAUGGCGAAGGCAGCCCCCUGGGAUAACACUGACGCUCAUGCACGAAAGCGUGGGGAGCAAACAGGAUUAGAUACCCUGGUAGUCCACGCCCUAAACGAUGUCAACUAGUUGUUGGGGAUUUACUUCCUUGGUAACGUAGCUAACGCGUGAAGUUGACCGCCUGGGGAGUACGGCCGCAAGGUUAAAACUCAAAGGAAUUGACGGGGACCCGCACAAGCGGUGGAUGAUGUGGAUUAAUUCGAUGCAACGCGAAAAACCUUACCCACCUUUGACAUGUACGGAAUCCUUUAGAGAUAGAGGAGUGCUCGAAAGAGAGCCGUAACACAGGUGCUGCAUGGCUGUCGUCAGCUCGUGUCGUGAGAUGUUGGGUUAAGUCCCGCAACGAGCGCAACCCUUGUCAUUAGUUGCUACGAAAGGGCACUCUAAUGAGACUGCCGGUGACAAACCGGAGGAAGGUGGGGAUGACGUCAAGUCCUCAUGGCCCUUAUAGGUGGGGCUACACACGUCAUACAAUGGCUGGUACAAAGGGUUGCCAACCCGCGAGGGGGAGCUAAUCCCAUAAAGCCAGUCGUAGUCCGGAUCGCAGUCUGCAACUCGACUGCGUGAAGUCGGAAUCGCUAGUAAUCGUGGAUCAGAAUGUCACGGUGAAUACGUUCCCGGGUCUUGUACACACCGCCCGUCACACCAUGGGAGCGGGUUCUGCCAGAAGUAGUUAGCCUAACCGCAAGGAGGGCGAUUACCACGGCAGGGUUCGUGACUGGGGUGAAGUCGUAACAAGGUAGCCGUAUCGGAAGGUGCGGCUGGAUCACCUCCUU
rnacentral:rRNA from 1 species